rnacentral:sRNA from 10 species
GCCGGGCGUGGUGGCUCACGCCUGUAAUCCCAGCACUUUGGGAGGCUAAGGCAGGUGGAUCACCUGAGGUCAGGAGUUCGAGACCAGACUGAACGACAAGUAGAAACCCCGUCUCUACUGAAAGUACAAAAUUAGCUGGGUGUGGUGGCGCAUGCCUGUAAUCCCAGCUACUCGGGAGGCUGAGGCAGGAUAAUUGAUUGAACCUGGGAGGUUGAGGUUGCAGUGAGCUGAAAUUGUACCACUGCACUCCAGCCUGGGCAACACAGUGAGACUCCAUCUGA